rnacentral:rRNA from 1 species
CUCAAGGUUGACCUCGGAUCAGGUAGGGAUACCC